GACGAACGCUGGCGGCGUGCUUAACACAUGCAAGUCGAACGGAAAGGCCCUGCUUUUGUGGGGUGCUCGAGUGGCGAACGGGUGAGUAACACGUGAGUAACCUGCCCUUGACUUUGGGAUAACUUCAGGAAACUGGGGCUAAUACCGGAUAGGAGCUCCUGCUGCAUGGUGGGGGUUGGAAAGUUUCGGCGGUUGGGGAUGGACUCGCGGCUUAUCAGCUUGUUGGUGGGGUAGUGGCUUACCAAGGCUUUGACGGGUAGCCGGCCUGAGAGGGUGACCGGCCACACUGGAACUGAGAUAAGGCCCAGACUCGUACGGGAGGCAGCAGUGGGGAAUAUUGCACAAUGGGCGGAAGCCUGAUGCAGCAACGCCGCGUGCGGGAUGACGGCCUUCGGGUUGUAAACCGCUUUCGCCUGUGACGAAGCGUGAGUGACGGUAAUGGGUAAAGAAGCACCGGCUAACUACGUG
rnacentral:rRNA from 1 species